CUUAUGUUAUCCACCCUUUAAAAGAACAUGUUCAGGGUGGCCCUUGUCCAAGAAAGAAGAGAUGGGGAACAGACCUGAAUCAACCCAAAUUCUGGAACCAAGUUCAGCUGACCUGUGGCCUGAGGGGGUAUACCUCCACUGACCCAGGGACUCUGAACUUCCCUUUGUUUUUCACCAUGAAUGGAGGCAGCCUGUGGCCCUCAUCAGAAGCAGAUGUUGGCUCCAUACUUCUUGAGCAACCUGCAGAAUGUGACGGCAGACCAUUACCUGACCUACUGGACACUACUUCCCUCACUCCCUUCAGAGUCUGAGCUACAGGCAGUGCCUUCUGUUCCAAGCUCUGGCACCUUAAACUUUGUUUUUGGCAGUUAAGGACUUUCAGGUGUUGAGUGUUGAUCAAGUUUUUCUGAACAGUAAGUCACUGGCUCUACCUCUUCUUCCACAAGCGUCAGCAUAGCAGAAUCUAUCAGUCCUUUGUACAAUGAGAGAGCAGAAAUUAACAUCCUAGAAAUCAACCAGGAAUUGCACUCACAGCUGAAAAUGAGUGAAUAGCAGUUCUGAGACCUCAAAGAGAAAUUUCUUGUCUCUGAAACUCCUGCCUACUGUCUGACCAA